CCUACGGGGGGCUGCAGUGAGGAAUAUUGGUCAAUGGACGAGAGUCUGAACCAGCCAAGUAGCGUGAAGGAUGACUGCCCUAUGGGUUGUAAACUUCUUUUAUAUGGGAAUAAAACGUUCCACGUGUGGGAUUUUGUAUGUACCAUAUGAAUAAGGAUCGGCUAACUCCGUGCCAGCAGCCGCGGUAAUACGGAGGAUCCGAGCGUUAUCCGGAUUUAUUGGGUUUAAAGGGAGCGUAGGUGGGUUGUUAAGUCAGUUGUGAAAGUUUGCGGCUCAACCGGAAAAUUGCAGUUGAAACUGGCAGUCUUGAGUACAGUAGAGGUGGGCGGAAUUCGUGGUGUAGCGGUGAAAUGCUUAGAUAUCACGAAGAACUCCGAUUGCGAAGGCAGUUCACUGGACUGCAACUGACACUGAGGCUCGAAAGUGUGGGUAUCAAACAGGAUUAGAUACCCUUGUAGUC
rnacentral:rRNA from 1 species